rnacentral:antisense_RNA from 1 species
UAAUUUUUUUGUAUUUUUUAGUAGAGACAGGGUUUCGCCAUCUUGGCCAGGAUAGACUUGAACUCCUGACCUUGUGAUCCAUCCGCCUUGGCUUCCCAAAGUGUUGGGAUUACAGGUGGGAGCCACUGCACCUGGCCUAACCACCAAGAUUCCUAAAAGGCAAAUAGGAAGCAGCUGUGGCUUAUUGGAAGGAAAGAAUGGCAGCAAGUCCUGGGGGAGCUGUGCCUGCAGCAGAUCUCCCGUUAGGGCAGCCAAGGCCAUAGAGAGUGGAACAGAAUGGAAUCUGUCUCUCCUUAGGCUAUUGAGGAUGACGCCAGGUCCUGGGAAAAUGAUACUGUCUUGGUCCAGCCUCUACCUCUGCGUCUCCAGGACUGAUGUUCCCCAUUAAAGGAGCUGGAUCUCCCUUUGUCACCCAGGCUGGAGUGCAGUGGCGUGAUCAUGACUCACUGCAAGCCUCAACCUCUCAGGCUCAAGUGAUCCUCCUGAAUAGUUGGGACCAUAGAAACACAAACAGCAGAAUGGCUCCAUCUCUGUUGGAGACUUCCAUCAACUAGAACCACGAGGACUGAUGGACAGACCACAAGGCCAGUUUGUUCCAGUUCAGUGCUUAAAAGAACCACAGAUGACCAGGCACGGUGGCUCACGCCUGUAAUCCCAGCACUUUGGGAGCCCGAG